ensembl:lncRNA
GGGAGGUGAAAAGAGAAAGGACGACGUCAGAUGUGGGAUGGCUUUGUGUGGAGUUAAGAGAAUAGCCAACUAAGAAAGUCCCAAGACCGAGUUGGCAACUCUCUGAAUGAGUCGUGGAUUCGGAGAGCCUGACUGAAGAAGAGAACGUACGCUACGUUUGGAAGAAGGAGCCUUUGACUCCCGAGCCCACCACGUCUUCGGCGUCUUGGCUAUCCGUAAGUAAAACUGUGAUUUCCUGUAAGGCCAAGCUAGGGUUAAUCACAGAAGGUGCUUGCUGUUGACUGCCUCAAGACAAGGGGGUGCUGUGGGAGAUCACUGCACAUCCAUGCUGGGGAACUGGAACUGAGAUAACAAUGAGGAGAGCAAUCGUCUGUCAAGGAGACCUGGCAAUGACCUCAGAGCUACGCAAUCAUACAGCACACAGAGAGACUGUGUGUGCAAACAAGAGAAUCUUACAUUCACUCGCUUAACUGGUCAAUAUCUGAUUGUGUUAGAAUGUUGCAUAUUUACACUAAAGAAACAGUUAAGCUCAACGUUGUUUUUUAGUUUGGAGUCAUUCAGGUGAUUAAUUUAUUAAAAUCUAAAUCAGGCAUUAAAUCUUGUUUAUACAAUUCUGUUUGUCAAACAUAAAGCAGGACAUGGUCAAAUGAUCAACCCACUUUGUGACAGUAUACGGUAUACAAUCGAUUACCCAAUGCAGCUGUGUGACAUGUAUGUCACUUCCUGUUUACUUCCUGUUCUACUUCCUCUGGCAAGUUUGAAUGAAAUGUGUUUAAGCAACAGUUUCGUUUUAUGGCCGCUUUUCAGAAUAUUCUAUUGUAAGAGAUAUGUCAUUAUCAUUGUGUUAAAAAAGCUCCCUCCCAGAGAUAUGUAAUUACAUACCAGCUGUAUAUUUUUACCCAGCUGAGCCUUGUCGUCUGUAUGUAUGAGAUAAAGAGACAACAUGGCUCUCAGCUGAGAGCAUUAUGUAUGAGGUGAGAUGCAACGUUGCGCAGUGAGACCACGAUAAAGAUGAGGCGUAACUGCAGAAUGAAUCUAAACAUGUCAACGUUGAAGAAAUACAAUGAUCUAUGUUUCAAUAACCAUAGCCAUCUCUUCAUGCUCUCAUCUGUGCUUUGCGGCUAUUUGCUUACAUAAGUGUGUGUGAGU